GAGGGGCUCGCGGCCUAUCAGCUAGUUGGUGAGGUAACGGCUCACCAAGGCUAUGACGGGUAGCUGGUCUGAGAGGACGACCAGCCACACGGGAACUGAGACACGGUCCCGACUCCUACGGGAGGCAGCAGUGGGGAAUUUUCCGCAAUGGGCGAAAGCCUGACGGAGUGACGCCGCGUGGGGGACGAAGGCCUUCGGGUUGUAAACCCCUGUCAGAGGGAAAGAAGGAUCGCCUGGCUAAUAUCCAGGUGAUCUGACGGUACCUUCAGAGGAAGCCCCGGCCAACUCUGUGCCAGCAGCCGCGGUAAGACAGAGGGGGCAAGCGUUGCUCGGAAUCACUGGGCGUAAAGGGCGCGUAGGCGGGAUGGCAAGUCAGUCGUGAAAUCUCUCGGCUCAACCGAGAAACGUCGGCUGAUACUGCCGUUCUUGAGGGAUGCAGAGGAGACUGGAAUUCCCGGUGUAGCGGUGAAAUGUGUAGAGAUCGGGAGG
rnacentral:rRNA from 1 species